rnacentral:rRNA from 1 species
AGUCGACGGUUAAGCAUCUUCGGAUGUGUAUAAAGUGGCGAACGGCUGAGUAACACGUGGGCAACCUGCCCUUUGCACUGGGAUAGCCUCGGGAAACCGAGGUUAAUACCGGAUACUCCAUAUUUGUCGCAUGGCGAAUAUGGGAAAGCUCCGGCGGCAAAGGAUGGGCCCGCGGCCUGUUAGCUAGUUGGUGGGGUAGUGGCCUACCAAGGCAAUGAUGGGUAGCCGGGUUGAGAGACCGACCGGCCAGAUUGGGACUGAGACACGGCCCAGACUCCUACGGGAGGCAGCAGUGGGGAAUCUUGCACAAUGGGCGAAAGCCUGAUGCAGCGACGCCGCGUGCGGGAUGAAGGCCUUCGGGUUGUAAACCGCUUUCAGCAGGGACGAGGCCGCAAGGUGACGGUACCUGCAGAAGAAGCCCCGGCUAACUACGUGCCAGCAGCCGCGGUAAUACGUAGGGGGCAAGCGUUAUCCGGAUUCAUUGGGCGUAAAGCGCGCGUAGGCGGUCUGUUAGGUCAGGAGUUAAAUCUGGGGGCUCAACCCCUAUCCGCUCCUGAUACCGGCAGGCUUGAGUCUGGUAGGGGAAGAUGGAAUUCCAAGUGUAGCGGUGAAAUGCGCAGAUAUUUGGAAGAACACCGGUGGCGAAGGCGGUCUUCUGGGCCAUNNNUGACG